rnacentral:rRNA from 1 species
UGAGUAACCUGCCCUUCACUCUGGGAUAACUCCGGGAAACCGGGGCUAAUACUGGAUAUGACUCGAACAGGCAUCUGUUUCGGGUGGAAAGAUUUUAUUGGUGGAGGAUGGACUCGCGGCCUAUCAGCUUGUUGGUGAGGUAAUGGCUCACCAAGGCGACGACGGGUAGCCGGCCUGAGAGGGCGAUCGGCCACACUGGGACUGAGACACGGUCCAGACUCCUACGGGNGCA